rfam:Ictidomys tridecemlineatus contig091230, whole genome shotgun sequence.
UCAAAGGCCCUUUUCAGGGCCGCCCAACCACUCAAAGAAAGAGCUGU